ACGCUCGACACCUACGGGAAGCAGCAGUAGGGAAUCUUCCACAAUGGACGCAAGUCUGAUGGAGCAACGCCGCGUGAGUGAAGAAGGUCUUCGGAUCGUAAAACUCUGUUGUUAGAGAAGAACACGAGUGAGAGUAACUGUUCAUUCGAUGACGGUAUCUAACCAGCAAGUCACGGCUAACUACGUGCCCGCAGCCGCGGUAAUCUGAGCGGGCUGGCAAGGC
rnacentral:rRNA from 1 species